rnacentral:rRNA from 1 species
GAAUCUUGGACAAUGGGGGCAACCCUGAUCCAGCGACGCCGCGUGGGUGAUGAAGGCUUUCGGGUUGUAAAGCACUUUCAGUGGGGAGGAAGGCGCCAAGGUUAAUACCCUUGGUGAUUGACGUCACCCACAGAUGAAGCACCGGCUAACUCCGUUCCAGCAGCCGCGGUAAUACGGAGGGUGCAAGCGUUAAUCGGAAUUACUGGGCGUAAAGCGCGCGUAGGUGGUUUGGUAAGCGAGAUGUGAAAGCCCCGGGCUCAACCUGGGAACGGCAUUUCGAACUGCCAGGCUAGAGUAUGGUAGAGGGGUGUGGAAUUUCCUGUGUAGCGGUGAAAUGCGUAGAUAUAGGAAGGAACACCAGUGGCGAAGGCGGCACCCUGGACCAAUACUGACACUGAGGUGCGAAAGCGUGGGGAGCAAACAGG